rnacentral:rRNA from 1 species
CGCCAGCCUGACGGAGCCAGACCGCGUGGGGGAGGAAGGCCCUUGGGUUGUAAACCCCUUUUCUCAGGGAAGAAGUCCUGACGGUACCUGAGGAAUCAGCCUCGGCUAACUCCGUGCCAGCAGCCGCGGUAAUACGGAGGAGGCAAGCGUUAUCCGGAAUUAUUGGGCGUAAAGCGUCCGCAGGGGGCGCAUCAAGUCUGCUGUUAAAGGUCGGAGCUAAACUCCGGUAGAGCAGUGGAAACUGGUGCGCUAGAGGGCGACAGGGGUAGAGGGAAUUCCCAGUGUAGCGGUGAAAUGCGUAGAGAUUGGGAAGAACACCAGAGGCGAAAGCGUUCUGCUGGGCCGCGCCUGACCCUGAGGGACGAAAGCCAGGGGAGCG